CGUGAUUAUGUUCGAAAAUUUAUCUAGCCAUGCUGCAGGAAGUGUAAAAACAAUGAGUAAAACAAAAACAAAGUCGGAUUAACCACAAUUAUCAAAAAAUGCAAGUUGCGUAUAAAGAGGGAUAACUCUAUCGAUAUUCUUGGCAUUACACUCCCCGUCUGAUAUGAAUAUAUCACUAAUAAAAUUUAACAAUACUUCAAAAAUCAAAAAGUUUUGUCCAAGUACACAAUCAAAAAU
rnacentral:lncRNA from 1 species